rnacentral:rRNA from 1 species
GACAGAGGUCUCGAGCGUUAGGCGGAAUCACUGGGCUUAAAGCGUGUGUAGGCGGAGUUCUAAGUACCUUGUGAAAUCCCACGGCUUAACCGUGGAACUGCUUGGUAUACUGGUUCUCUUGGGCCACUUAGGGGCUACCGGAACAAACGGUGGAGCGGUGAAAUGCGUAGAUAUCGUUUGGAACGCCAAUGGUGAAAACAGGUAGCUGGGAGUGUGCCGACGCUGAGACACGAAAGCCAGGGGAGCGAGCGGG